rnacentral:rRNA from 1 species
GACGAACGCUGGCGGCGUGCUUAACACAUGCAAGUCGAACGGAAAGGCCCGCUUGCGGGUACUCGAGUGGCGAACGGGUGAGUAACACGUGGGCAACCUGCCCUCAGCUCUGGGAUAACUCCGGGAAACCGGUGCUAAUACUGGAUAUCAACUUCUGCUCGCAUGGGUGGUUGUUGAAAGUUUUUCGGCUGGGGAUGGGCCCGCGGCCUAUCAGCUUGUUGGUGGGGUGAUGGCCUACCAAGGCGACGACGGGUAGCCGGCCUGAGAGGGCGACCGGCCACACUGGGACUGAGACACGGCCCAGACUCCUACGGGAGGCAGCAGUGGGGAAUAUUGCGCAAUGGGCGGAAGCCUGACGCAGCGACGUCGCGUGAGGGAUGACGGCCUUCGGGUUGUAAACCUCUUUCAGCUCUGACGAAGCGAGAGUGACGGUAGGAGCAGAAGAAGCACCGGCCAACUACGUGCCAGCAGCCGCGGUAAUACGUAGGGUGCAAGCGUUGUCCGGAAUUAUUGGGCGUAAAGAGCUCGUAGGCGGUCUGUCGCGUCGAAUGUGAAAACCCGGGGCUCAACCCCGGGCCUGCAUUCGAUACGGGCAGACUAGAGUUCGGUAGGGGAGUCUGGAAUUCCUGGUGUAGCGGUGAAAUGCGCAGAUAUCAGGAGGAACACCGGUGGCGAAGGCGGGACUCUGGGCCGAUACUGACGCUGAGGAGCGAAAGCGUGGGGAGCGAACAGGAUUAGAUACCCUGGUAGUCCACGCCGUAAACGUUGGGCGCUAGGUGUGGGGGUCCUUCCACGACCUCCGUGCCGCAGCUAACGCAUUAAGCGCCCCGCCUGGGGAGUACGGCCGCAAGGCUA